UACGAAGGGUGCAAGCGUUAAUCGGAAUUACUGGGCGUAAAGGGUGCGUAGGCGGUUAUUUAAGUCUGCCGUGAAAUCCCCGGGCUCAACCUGGGAAUUGCAUUUGAGACUGCACGGCUAGAGUGUGUCAGAGGGGGGUAGAAUUCCACGUGUAGCAGUGAAAUGCGUAGAGAUGUGGAGGAAUACCGAUGGCGAAGGCAGCCCCCUGGGAUAACACUGACGCUCAUGCACGAAAGCGUGGGGAGCAAACAGG
rnacentral:rRNA from 1 species